AAGGGUUUGUGGGCCGCAGGAAAGUGUCUUCUUGGCCCAAGAAAGUGGCCCAACGUGGCAAAGCCCCCAUACAAGGAAAAGCCAGAAGACUUGUGUAUGUACACAGCAGGAUGAACUCUUGUGUGUCAGUAAAGAGGUUUUCUUCACUUCUGACCUUAUCCAACAACUAAC